GUCAAUGGGCAGGGCUUGCGAUCUUCGCAUGUGUCUUAUCGUAAAGAAUUGUUAAAAUUUAGGAUAGGGAAAAAACUAUUUAAUGGAUGAAGCGAGAACAGCAGGAAGAAAAGGAGGGAAGGUAGUUUUCUAGUACAAGCAUAUUGAGAAGAAUGGAGGACAAAGUUUGCGAAGAGCCAGCUAGAUUAACUAGAACUGGACCGAGAGAAAGUCCUCACACCUGAGUUCCUUUCUCAACUCUCCACCAACUGAACCGGGAUGGAAACAGACUAGUGAAGUUCUUUCAGUUCCCUUAAAGGUACUUUGAGGUAUAUAGCAGGUAUCUGAAGAAUGGCCAGUUUACUCUAACACUCUUUGGUGGGCAAAGUACGAAAACUGAAAGACAGCCUAAAGGAUUCCAUUAAGAAAA
rnacentral:lncRNA from 1 species